rnacentral:antisense_RNA from 1 species
CAGUAACUGGCAUUUGGUUAUGGGGUGGCUGUUUUUCUACGUGGAACAAGCAGGGUCCCAGUUCAAGUUUCUGCUGCGUAUCUGAUAAUCUUGAGGUAUUUAUGAAGGACUCCUUUGAAAGUUCUCUACUGAGUUUCCUUAAGGAAUUCCUUAAGGAAUCCUUAAGGUAUAUUUAAUGACCUCCACCAUGUCUAAGAACAAGCAGCUAUUUCUGUAGAGAAAGAUCACCUUUGGAUAACAAUACAUGAUUUUAGGCUCUAAAAGUUAAAACGUGUUUGUAACGUUGAUAUUAUGCAGAGGUCUUGACAGAACUUAGCAGUCUCUGAGGCUACAGAGAAGUGUGAAAAAGAGCAUAGAGAUUUCAGAAGGAGGCAGAUUCAGUCAGACAUACUGAAUCCUGUUUGAUCUCAAUUCAGGCACACUCCAGAUGGAUGGAGCAGGAAAACCCUUAGUGAAACCUGCCUCUGCAGGUUGAUGGCUUGGGAGGAGAGGCAUUAUGGAAAAUGAUUAGAUGUGAGAAUCACAGCAAAGGAAGAAUGGGCAUGAAUAGUAAAUGGUAAAUGUGGGGAUGCAGUAUUGAACAGCACACUGGAGUUUUUGUCCAGAAGUUUGACUUUAGAAGAUAAGAAAUAACUGAGCGUAUUACAAGCAGGAGUUAGAGGAAGAGACUCAGUACAGAAGAGACAGGAACAAAAGUUCACCUCCAUUAGAUGGGAAAGGAUACAGAUCAAGAGCUCAGGAAAAGUAGGAGAAAGAAGCUCUAUUCCAGAAGCAGUGUGGAGCACAAAGAAUCCCUAAUCCCUGACAUUAAGAAAGAAGAAAAAUAUUCCUAGGACGAUCCUGGAGAGCAAAG